GACGAACGCUGGCGACGUGCCUAAUACAUGCAAGUAGAACGCAGUUGCGAACGGGUGAGUAACGCGUAGGUAACUGCCUCAUAGCGGGGGAUAACUAUUUGAAACGUUAGCUAAUACCGCAGACUGUGUGGUGGACCUGCGUUGUAUUAGCUAGUUGGUGAGGUAAAGGCUCACCAAGGCGACGAUACAUAGACGACCUGUGAGGGGUGUUGGCCACACUGAGGCUGGGUGACGGCCCAGAAUCGGACGGGAGGGAGCAGUAGGGAGUCUUCCGCAAGUAACGGAAGGCUGACCGGGCAACGGCGCGUGCGUGAGGAAGGAUUUCGGAUAGUAAAUCUCUGUUGGUAGGGAAGCAGUGACUACCCAGAAUGCGACGGCUAACUACGUGGCAGCAGCCGCGGUAAUAC
rnacentral:rRNA from 1 species